rnacentral:tRNA from 1 species
AUUUAUAUAGUUUAAAUUUUAAAACAUUACACUUUCACCGUAAAAAUAAAAAAAAUUUUUUAUAAAUA